rnacentral:rRNA from 1 species
AGUGAACGCUGGCGGUAGGCCUAACACAUGCAAGUCGAACGGCAGCACAGUAAGAGCUUGCUCUUACGGGUGGCGAGUGGCGGACGGGUGAGGAAUACAUCGGACUCUACUUUUUCGUGGGGGAUAACGUAGGGAAACUUAUGCUAAUACCGCAUACGACCUACGGGUGAAAGCAGGGGAUCUUCGGACCUUGCGCGAUUGAAUGAGCCGAUGUCGGAGUAGCUAGUUGGCGGGGUAAAGGCCCACCCAGGCGACGAUCCGUAGCUGGUCUGAGAGGAUGAUCAGCCACACUGGAACGGAGACACGGUCCAGACUCCUACGGGAGGCAGCAGUGGGGAAUAUUGGACAAUGGGCGCGAGCCUGAUCCAGCCAUCCCGCGUGGGUGAAGAAGGCCUUCGGGUUGUAAAGCCCUUUUGUUGGGAAAGAAAAGCAGCAGGUUAAUACCCCGCUGUUCUGACGGUACCCAAAGAAUAAGCACCGGCUAACUUCGUG